rnacentral:rRNA from 1 species
UACGUAGGGCGCAAGCGUUAUCCGGAAUUAUUGAGGCAGUAAGAGCUCGUAGGCGGUUUGUCGCGUCUGCCGUGAAAGUCCGGGCUCAACUCCGGAUCUGCGGUGGGUACGGGCAGACUUGAGUGUUGCAGGGAGACUGGAAUUCCUGGUGUAGCGGUGAAAUGCGCAGAUAUCAGGAGGAACACCGGUGGCGAAGGCGGGUCUCUAGGCAGUAACUGACGCUGAGGAGCGAAAGCGUGGGGAGCGAACAGG